AUACAUGCAAGUCGAGGGGCAGCGGAUCCCUCCGGGGAUGCCGGCGACCGGCGAACGGGUGAGUAACACGUAUGGAACCUACCCUUAACUGGGGGAUAGCCCCGAGAAAUCGGAGUUAAUACCCCAUAUUAUAAUAAAGGGGCAUCCCUUUAUUAUGAAAGCUCGGGCGGUUAAGGAUGGCCAUGCGGUCCAUUAGCUUGUUGGUGAGAUAAAAGCUCACCAAGGCCACGAUGGAUAGCUGAUCUGAGAGGAUGAUCAGCCACAUUGGCACUGAGACACGGGCCAAACUCCUACGGGAGGCAGCAGUAGGGAAUCUUGGUCAAUAGGCGAAAGCCUGAACCAGCCAUGCCGCGUGCAGGAUGAAGGCCCUACGGGUCGUAAACUGCUUUUAUUCGGGAAGAAAAAGUCUGUGUCCACAGACCUUGACGGUACCGAAUGAAUAAGGACCGGCCAACUCCGUGCCAGCAGCCGCGGUAAUACGGAGGGUCCAAGCGUUAUCCGGAAUCAUUGGGUUUAAAGGGUCCGUAGGCGGGAUAAUAAGUCAGUGGUGAAAGUCUGCAGCUCAACUGUAGAAUUGCCAUUGAUACUGUUGUUCUUGAGUUAUUGUGAAGUGGUUAGAAUGAGUAGUGUAGCGGUGAAAUGCAUAGAUAUUACUCACAAUACCGAUUGCGAAGGCAGAUCACUAACAAUACACUGACGCUGAUGGACGAAAGCGUAGGUAGCGAACAGGAUUAGAUACUCUGAUAGUCUACGCCGUAAACGAUGGUUACUAGCUGUUCGGGUUAAUUGAGACCUGAGUGGCUAAGCGACAGUGAUCUGAACCCACCUGGGGAGUAUGGUCUCAAGGC
rnacentral:rRNA from 1 species